rnacentral:rRNA from 1 species
AACUUAGCAUAUCAAUAAGCGGAGGAAAAGAAACCAACAGGGAUUGCCCUAGUAACGGCGAGUGAAGCGGCAACAGCUCAAAUUUGAAAUCUGGCUCUUUUAGAGUCCGAGUUGUAAUUUGCAGAGGGCGCUUUGGCUUUGGCAGCGGUCCAAGUUCCUUGGAACAGGACGUCACAGAGGGUGAGAAUCCCGUACGUGGUCGCUGGCUAUUGCCGUGUAAAGCCCCUUCGACGAGUCGAGUUGUUUGGGAAUGCAGCUCUAAAUGGGAGGUACAUUUCUUCUAAAGCUAAAUAUUGGCCAGAGACCGAUAGCGCACAAGUAGAGUGAUCGAAAGAUGAAAAGCACUUUGGAAAGAGAGUCAAACAGCACGUGAAAUUGUUGAAAGGGAAGCGCUUGCAGCCAGACUUGCUUACAGUUGCUCAUCCGGGUUUCUACCCGGUGCACUCUUCUGUAGGCAGGCCAGCAUCAGUUUGGGCGGUAGGAUAAAGGUCUCUGUCACGUACCUCCUUUCGGGGAGGCCUUAUAGGGGAGACGACAUACUACCAGCCUGGACUGAGGUCCGCGCAUCUGCUAGGAUGCUGGCGUAAUGGCUGUAAGCGGCCCGUCUUGAAACACGGACCAAGGAGUCUAACAUCUAUGCGAGUGUUUGGGUGUCAAGCCCGAGCGCGUAAUGAAAGUGAACGGAGGUGGGAACCCGCAAGGGUGCACCAUCGACCGAUCCUGAUGUCUUCGGAAGGAUUUGAGUAAGAGCAUGGCUGUUGGGACCCGAAAGAUGGUGAACUAUGCUUGAAUAGGGUGAAGCCAGAGGAAACUCUGGUGGAGGCUCGCAGCGGUUCUGACGUGCAAAUCGAUCGUCAAAUUUGGGCAUAGGGGCGAAAGACUAAUCGAACUAUCUAGUAGCUGGUUCCUGCC